GAUGAACGCUAGCUACAGGCUUAACACAUGCAAGUCGAGGGGAAACGACAUCGAAAGCUUGCUUUUGAUGGGCGUCGACCGGCGCACGGGUGAGUAACGCGUAUCCAACCUGCCCCACCACUUGGGGGAUAACCUUGCGAAAGUAAGACUAAUACCCGAUGAUAUCUCUAGACGACAUCUGAAAUGAAUUAAAGAUUUAUCGGUGAUGGAUGGGGAUGCGUCUGAUUAGCUUGUUGGCGGGGUAACGGCCCACCAAGGCGACGAUCAGUAGGGGUUCUGAGAGGAAGGUCCCCCCACAUUGGAACUGAGACACGGUCCAAACUCCUACGGGAGGCAGCAGUGAGGAAUAUUGGUCAAUGGGCGAGAGCCUGAACCAGCCAAGUAGCGUGCAGGAAGACGGCCCCUAUGGGUUGUAAACUGCUUUUAUAGGGGAAUAAAGUGAGCCACGUGUGGUUUUUUGCAUGUACCCUAUGAAUAAGGACCGGCUAAUUCCGUG
rnacentral:rRNA from 1 species